rnacentral:lncRNA from 1 species
AGACAUCUGUCCAGCAUCAUGUAAUUGAAAUUAAGGAUGUCAGAUGCCCAUUUAUCCUACAGGACAUCUUCUGCUCACCCAGACAAGAGCUACGUAAGCCACUGUCAUUCUUUCUUAACUCAGAAGGAUUGGGUUUUUCAGGACUCUUGAUUCCUACGUUUACAUUUCUGGGAUCAGCUAAUAUGUGGUAGAUUUAUAGAAGCUGGAGACCAGGGCUAUGUAUAGUUUCUGAUCCACUGAAGUGAUUUUGGUGGCUUUGUGACAUCAUUUUACUCAUGGAUUUAUGAUGAAGGAGAUCACAGUGGGCGGGCACCCAAUUGCCAGUGGUGUUACAGGCUGCAUAGAGGUUUCACACUUUUGCUUUUAGUUGAAGAUUCUGAUAGAGAUGAAAGGCAAGAGAAAAGAGGAAAUGGGCCACUGUAUGACCAAAAGUGGUGGGCACCAGUAAUAAAGUUACUAAC